UACAGAGGUCCCAAGCGUUGUUCGGAUUCACUGGGCGUAAAGGGUGCGUAGGCGGUCGGGUAAGUCUGAUGUGAAAUCUCACAGCUUAACUGUGAAACUGCAUUGGAUACUAUCCGGCUUGAGGAAUGGAGGGGAGACUGGAAUACUUGGUGUAGAGGUGAAAUUCGUAGAUAUUGGGAAGAACACCAGUGGCGAAGGCGGCUCACUGGCUCGUAUCUGACGCUCAGGCGCGACAGCGUGGGGAUCAAACAGG
rnacentral:rRNA from 1 species